rnacentral:rRNA from 1 species
ACGGAGGGUGCAAGCGUUAUCCGGAUUCACUGGGUUUAAAGGGUGCGUAGGUGGGGUGGUAAGUCAGUGGUGAAAUCUCCAGGCUUAACUUGGAAACUGCCAUUGAUACUAUCAUUCUUGAAUACCGUGGAGAUGAGCGGAAUAUGUCAUGUAGCGGUGAAAUGCUUAGAUAUGACGUAGAACACCAAUUGCGAAGGCAGCUCGUUACACGAAUAUUGACACUGAGGCACGAAAGCGUGGGGAUCAAACAGGAUUAGAUACCCUGGUAGUCCACGCCCUAAACGAUGGAUACUCGACAUUUGCGAUAAACUGCAAGUGUCUGAGCGAAAGCAUUAAGUAUCCCACCUGGGAAGUACGAUCGCAAGAUUG